CUUUCAACCGAUGAGUCGAUGAAAUCAUCACUGAAAUCUCACAGCGAUCUAUGCAAAUUUCAUCGAUCACUUCUAUAAGUUUUUCGAUUUAGGGUUUUUAAGUUUUUCAAUCGUCUGGUUUUUUCUCAUCUUCACUCUCAACUGAAAAUUUCGGUUCUUCAAUCAUCUGUUAAUCAUCAUCAUCAUGAGUUUAGGGUUUCGAUUUCAGUUUCAUCAUCAUCAGUUUUAGGGUUUUAUCUAAUUUAUUAGCUAACCAUCUGAUCUUUUGAAGAACUGAUGUUCAAUCAUAUGUUAAGCGAGUUUAGGGUUUCGAUUUCGCAGAUCUUUGUAAGUUUUUAUCAUCUGUAAGAUUUCAGCUUUUUUUUUUUAUCGAUUUUGAGGUUUCAGUUUGGUUAAUCAAAUUUUAGGGGUUAAGUAUUUCAAUUGAUUUUAGGGUUUAUUGUUACUCGUUUUUGAUUUUCAAUCUCUAACUUUCUCUCUAUCUGCUUUCUUGAACUGCCGCCCCGUUGAUGAUAUUAUGAGGAUUUGAUUGGGGGUUUUCUUUUGGGUUUAACCAAAUCGAUGUAACUUUCAGGUGAAUGAAAUGGUAAUGUAUUUGUUGAAAAAAACUGUUGAUUAUUUCGUUAUAACAGUGAAAUUGGGAAAUUCGAUGUUGAAUUAUUAAGAACCUAAUUGUGUUAGAUUCUCUAGUUUUGUUUUGUUGAAUCUUGUAUGUGUCAAGUUUAAAGAAGAAUUUUGAAGGUAUUGUUUUGAUAAUGAAUAUCUUUUCUGAUGUGUUAAGUUUAUUGUGUCUGCUUAAUGUAGUCUGGACAUUGAAGAUGGCAGAGAUGUUGAUCUCAAAGAGUGUCCUAGAUCCAAGCUUCAACAUCAAUGCAAUCUCAUGCUAUUGUGCUAAUUUAUUUUGUUGUUAUUGUUGAAUUUCUUAUAUUGUGCUUGCUGUGUGCAGAAAAAGAUAAGGUGUUACCAUCAUUCGAGUUUUCUUGCUGGGGAACUACCUUAGCUGCAGGAGAACUUGUUGCAGAGACUUGCUUAUAUUGUUCUUGCAUUUUCUUUUCCAAAUUGUUUAACGUGCAGAUGAAAGAAAGGAUGAAGUCUUUCCAUAUGUCUGAACAGGAAAGUAGAAAAAUAAGGAACAAGAAGAGUACCUACAGUUUCUUCCCAAUCAACAACUCAAAAUGCAUAUAAACUGUUUGUUUAAAUUCCUGAACGAUUAGUUGCAGCUUUUGUUCUUCACUGAACCAAGCUGUUGUUUGCAGUUAAGUAUAUCAUUUGGUGUAACGGAGUACCGUACACUUGAAAGAGGAACUCAGUAUUGGACCCGGGAGGAAUUAUAGGGAUAUCAGAAGGUGUAGAACAUUGAGUUGGUCUGUUAUACACACUCUAGCAACACUGCUCGAGUCCACAGGAUUUGUUCCCAUCAAUGCACCGCUGGGAGUGAAAAGCUCACCUCUUGAAGACCAAAAGGUAUACAUAUUCAAAAAAAAUUGAGUUUAGAAUAAAUAUUUGAGUGCGUGGCUGCAAGACCACAUCUAUUUUCCAACAAGCAUGAAGAUAUUGGCUCCUCUAACAAUGAUGCAACUUCCUUAGCCAGGCAUAAAUUAUGGCUUGAUUGAAAAAUUGAUCAAGAAUGUUAGGAUUUAAGUUUCGGUCUAGGUUAUGAUUCGUCAACUACAGAUGUGAUCCUUCUAGAAUUGCACCCAGCACCUGAGGUAUUUGAAGCUAGUUAUCCAACGUUGCUUUCUUUCUAAUUUUACACCCAACUGGUUGCAGGUGGGUCCUUUUCUUAUUCGUCUACUAAUUUACUUCAGCUCUUUCAAUUCUAAUUCUUGUUUACAGAACGCGCUACCUGUUAAAGUCAAUAUGCAGCUUUUCUCUGCGAAACAUCAAGUCAAUCACUGAAAGUGCAUGGUGCAUCAUUUGCUACACCUGAACUGCUUGGACGAAGAACUUCAGUGGUGCAGAACUUGAAGGUGUUGUUAAAAGUAUCAUAUCAUAUUCCUUGAACAGGCAACUAAGCCUAGAAGAUCUUACUAAGACAUUGGAUGACGAGAGUAUAAAAGAAACCAUGGAUGACUUUCUCUGCAUGCCAUGCUCAAGAGAUGCCAGGGCAACAGCCGUUCAUGACGUCCAGUUAAUCAUUCAGGUAUUUGCUUUUUCUUUUAUAUAGAAGUGCCAUCACUAGUUAGAUUGUUUAGUCUCGUUUGUUGAGUCUCGUGUAUUGAUAUUUAUUUAUUACAUCUAUAUCAAGUUCAAGCAUAACUAAUUGAUUUUUCCUGGUAAGUACUUAAGUUGUAUACUUGCUAGAUUCCUUGUAUACUUACAGUUAGAGAGCAUACUCUUAUGCAGUUGUGCAAGAAAUUCAUAACUUCUCCAGUUUUUGUAUGUCAUCUCUUCUUGUUUUUGCUUACUUUCAACAUCUAAGUUUACAGUUUCCGUGUUCGCAAGUUAUUCGAAUGAUGCUCUUUUUGAUCGGACAGGCUGGAGAACAAAGCAGUCAUAAGGUUUCUUAGCAGCUGCAAGUUUUGUAAGUUUCUAUGUAGGAAGUUAGUAAUUCUCUAUGUAUUCCCUUAGAAAUUUGGAACUUAGUAAGUUUCUAUGUAUUCCCUUAGAAUUUGAUACUUGACCCAAAAAAAUUGGUACUUGGAAGAAUUUGUGUUCUU